UAAUAAUUAAUCCUGCACCCGCUGCCCUCUGAGCAGGACAUGCCAUGUCUGUCAGCACAGAUCUAAUGCCACAACUCCCAGACAACAGAGACACAGGAAACUAAAGGUUUACCAUUGGCAGGAGCUGCCUCCAUGUCAGGGGACGCAGGCUCUUCCAGGCAUAUAAUCUCCAAACUCAGCCUGCAGUGCUAACGCAGCAAGAAACAAUGCAGUCUCCUCAUUACAGUACACUCUGUCCUCCAGAACGUCCCUCCUCAGCUGGAGAUAGUACUGGUGUUGUCUCGGAGUCCAAAGACAGUCUGCGGGUCUCUCCUGAAGCUCCGUUCUCCUCUGUAUAACCAGGAUAUGGUCCACGCUUACCUGCUCAACAGAGACCUGAUCACUACCGACAUUGUCUUGGAAGACGUCCUCUACCAGUUGUUUGAUGACUUUGUUGGGAGGAGGCAGCAGAGAUGCUUUGUGAUGUGAUUCACACACCUCCAAGAUAGAGUUAAGGUUGUCUCGUCGAUGGGCCAUGUCC